CACGUGGGGAACCUGCCCCAUAGUCUGGGAUACCACUUGGAAACAGGUGCUAAUACCGGAUAAGAAAGCGGAUCGCAUGAUCAGCUUUUAAAAGGCGGCGUAAGCUGUCGCUAUGGGAUGGCCCCGCGGUGCAUUAGCUAGUUGGUAAGGUAAAGGCUUACCAAGGCGAUGAUGCAUAGCCGAGUUGAGAGACUGAUCGGCCACAUUGGGACUGAGACACGGCCCAAACUCCUACGGGAGGCAGCAGCC
rnacentral:rRNA from 1 species